CUUGCCUCUGCCUCCCAAGUCCUGUGAUUAAAGGCAUGCACCAUAUCGCCCAGCAAGAACUGUCUUCUUAUUAAAUCUUGGAAUGCUACUGGGGUUCUGCCAACAGCAAUCGACAAUGUGAGUUUUUCAAUUAAUUACUAAUAAUUUAUUUUUUUGCUCUGUGUAUAAGGUAUUCUGCCUGUAUGUAGUCCUAUGGAGCACCUGGGUGUAGUGUCAGCAGGGGCCAGAGGCAUUGAGUCCCUAGAACUAGAGUUGCAGACAGCUGCAAGCCUCCAGGAAUCAAUGAGAGCACACCCGGACAACCUAUCUCCCCUUCAUGACCCCGGGAGGGAGCUGGGAAGAGAUUUCCUUGAACACCAGCUACAUCCUCCUCAAAUAUCAGAGCUACAUGAAAGGCUGCUUCUAACACUAAGAAUUAACUGUAGUCAAGGAUAAAAAGCUGAGAUCUACCAAGCAUGCUCUAAGUCAUGUAAAAUGCAGCCAAAGUUUUCACAGGGAGCCUUCAGGUGACAGCGAGGUAACAAGAGUCAAGCUCUUUGCCCAGCAAAAAAUUUCAGGAGUCCAGUACUUACGCUGCAAGGGUUGUUGGCCGUCUGAGCUGGACUGUAGAAGGACCCCCACUGCGUGGCUCGCCUCUCUUCCCUGGACGGGGUGCUAUUCACAGGUAGGCUGGCAGGCACACCAGUACCCGCUCCCAUAGCAUUGGUGGGCUGGCUGCUGGGAGCCACGAGGGCAAAGGCGUCAUCCAGGAGGGAGUGCAUGGUCUGGCGUGCCUCCUCGAUGGACGGCUGAGGCGGGAUGUACUGAGAGGCUGAGAAGGGCAGGCCGGGAUACCUGCCCAGCUCUGUAGAGGAGGGUGUCUGGACAUCAGCUGGGAGGUCAGGAUCAGACUGUGUGAGAGGCAAGGGGGAGAAUGACAUGUGUGCUUCCGUGGGGCAUGGGGUGGAGUGUGAAGCUAAAUUCUGGGGCAGAGUGGAAUUUAAAAAUGGUCCUACUUUGUGGGAAAGGGUUUGUCAUAAGAAUUAAAAGUCAUCUCUCUUAAUAGGCAUCAUGUUUUAUAUGAGGCAAAGAUGUCAACUGAGAAAAACCCAAUGAGAAUACUUCACAACUUCUUUUCUGUAAAACUCAACCGUAAAAUAGAUGUCAGACCCGGGGAAGGACAUCUUCACUGAGAAGCCUAAGCAGCCACAAAUCAGACUUCCAAGUAAACACACUAAGGAGACCCAGGCAACUUUCUGUGGCUGUGAAAACCAAAGGUUAAACCCAAAAGGAGGGUCCAGGACACCAUGAGGAAAGCCUGCGCUGGUCAUCAAUGAAGACAAAGGAAGAGUCCAAGGAAAACCAACCUCCCUCCCUACAGAGAACUCAGUUGGAGGCUGGAAAACAAGCAUCAACUGCUGGCUCCUCCGAGAAGCCAAGCCCAGGCUGCUAGCAAAGGCUGUGUGGGGAAGGAGGGAAUGCGGUGUCCAUUACUAGGCCUAUGAAAGGACCAGGUGACUAUACUAAGACUACGAGUACAGUUUCUACACACUGAGCGUACCACCACCAGUGUUUGGAGUGUUAGGACAUAUGCUUCCAGCAGAACAGGAACACCCAUCUGUUGCCAGAAAAGCUGGAGUGACUCUGUGUGUGUGUGUGUGUGUGUGUGUGUGUGUUUCCUCCCUGGUCAGGGGGACCUAAAUUCAGAGAAAGGAAGAGAAACUGCUUGCUCCUUUGCUCUACAGGGGCAUCUGUAGUUAGCAGCGACUGCUCACAAGAACCCUCGGGAGGGGGUGACAGGGGUCAAGUGAGGCUUCAGAGCUCCCCGAGCUCCCAGGGAGGAGCCUGUUGCUUCCUGAUGAGCUUGAAGAAUCAGACUUUAGCCAAUGUCAGCACAGUGUUUGCCACAUUUUUAUAAACAUUUUGAAUGUUUUUCAUUAUUUAUUAACGUGUCAUUUAGGGGAAAAUAAAGAAACCUCAAAUAAACCUCAGUGCUACAGGGCAACUGUGUCUUGUCGCGCGUGCGCGGUACCUUCUCGGAGGACAGGCUUGUUGCUAUGUCACACAAGCAAAGCUGGCUCUCUACGUUUGCUCAGCACUGAGUUCUUUAUGUUCCUCGCUGUUGCUGCUGCUGCGUCCAUUAGACUCCCCUUCUCUUUCCCAGGGCAUCUUCGUGUCUCUUGCUAAUGGUCCCUUGGGAAGCUAGGUUUCUUUCCCCCUCAAUGGACCCUGUGUGUAUAUGUCAGUGUAUAGUGUAUCAAUGUCUGCCUUCAUCACCUCAAGCCAGGCUGUCUGUGUGCCUUUCCAUUUGAAAAAUAAGGCUCUCAUUCUUUGAUUUACAUUAAGCUCUUUCCCCCAUGAACAUUAUACACACACACACACACACACACACACACAUAUACAUAUACAUACACACACACACAUUAAUCAUCCCUAAUCUGAAAUCAGAAACUGUGU